rnacentral:rRNA from 1 species
AAGAACGCUGGCGGCAGGCCUAACACAUGCAAGUCGAGCGAGCAUUUCGGUGCUAGCGGCGGACGGGUUAGUAACGCGUGGGAACGUGCCCUUUGCUACGGAAUAGUCCUGGGAAACUGGGGGUAAUACCGUAUGUGCCCUUCGGGGGAAAGAUUUAUCGGCAAAGGAUCGGCCCGCGUUGGAUUAGGUAGUUGGUGGGGUAAUGGCCUACCAAGCCGACGAUCCAUAGCUGGUUUGAGAGGAUGAUCAGCAACACUGGGACUGAGACACGGCCCAGACUCCUACGGGAGGCAGCAGUGGGGAAUCUUAGACAAUGGGCGCAAGCCUGAUCUAGCCAUGCCGCGUGGACGAUGAAGGCCUUAGGGUUGUAAAGUCCUUUCAGCUGGGAAGAUAAUGACGGUACCAGCAGAAGAAGCCCCGGCUAACUCCGUG